rnacentral:rRNA from 1 species
AGAGUUUGAUCCUGGCUCAGGAUAAACGACUGGCGGCGCACAUAAGACAUGCAAGUCGAACGAAUUAACCUUUAGUUUACUAUUGGAGCGGUUAGUGGCGGACUGGUGAGUAACACGUAAGCAACUUACCUAUCAGAGGGGAACAACAGUUAGAAAUGACUGCUAAUACCGCAUAUGCCAUGAGUAUCACAUGAUACAAAUGGGAAAGGAGCAAUCCGCUGAUAGAUAGGCUUGCGUCUGAUUAGAUAGUUGGUGGGGUAAUGGCCUACCAAGUCAACGAUCAGUAGCCGAACUGAGAGGUUGAACGGCCACAUUGGGACUGAGAUACGGCCCAGACUCCUACGGGAGGCAGUAGUCGGGAAUAUUGCGCAAUGGAGGAAACUCUGACGCAGUGACGCCGCGUGCAGGAAGAAGGUUUUCGGAUUGUAAACUGCUUUAGACAGGGAAGAAAAAAGACAGUACCUGUAGAAUAAGCUCCGGCUAACUACGUG